rnacentral:rRNA from 1 species
GAUGAACGCUGGCGGCGUGCCUAAUACAUGCAAGUCGAGCGAACAGAUGAGGAGCUUGCUCCUCUGACGUUAGCGGCGGACGGGUGAGUAACACGUGGAUCACCUACCUAUAAGACUGGGAUAACUUCGGGAAACCGGAGCUACUACCGGAUAAUAUAUUGAACCGCAUGGUUCAAUAGUGAAAGACGGCUUUGCUGUCUCUUAUAGAUGGAUCCGCGCCGCAUUAGCUAGUUGGUAAGGUAACGGCUUACCAAGGCAACGAUGCGUAGCCGACCUGAGAGGGUGAUCGGCCACACUGGAACUGAGACACGGUCCAGACUCCUACGGGAGGCAGCAGUAGGGAAUCUUCCGCAAUGGGCGAAAGCCUGACGGAGCAACGCCGCGUGAGUGAUGAAGGUCUUCGGAUCGUAAAACUCUGUUAUUAGGGAAGAACAAAUGUGUAAGUAACUAUGCACGUCUUGACGGUACCUAAUCAGAAAGCCACGGCUAACUACGUG